CUGCCCUAUUGACAUGGAUCAAUUAUAAACACUAUAUAUAUCUAUUACAGACUGAAGUUUGAGGUACAUCUGGUUUUAACAUUAUACAUGGAGGUGGUUGAUCUCAUCUAUAAAGCACUAUGUGUAAAGUUCGUUUCAUUUUGAUUUUAUGAAAAUGUGACAUAAGGGCUAGAUGAUGAAAAGAACAGAAUUUGUUUUCCUUUCUACAUACUUUAAACUGACACUGUUUUG
rnacentral:lncRNA from 1 species